rnacentral:rRNA from 1 species
UACGAAGGGGGCUAGCGUUGCUCGGAUUUACUGGGCGUAAAGGAGCGUGUAGGCGGCCACGCAGGUCCGUUGUGAAAACUGGAGGCUCAACCUCCAGCUGUCGACGGAAACCGUAUGGCUAGAGUCCGGAAGAGGAGAGUGGAAAUUCCUGGUGUAGCGGUGAAAUGCGCAGAUAUCAGGAAGAACACCAUGCGAAGGCAGCUCUCUGGGACGGUACUGACGCUGAGACGCGAAAAGCGUGGGGGAGCGAACAGG